AUUGAACGCUGGCGGAAUGCUUUACACAUGCAAGUCGAACGGCAGCACGGACUUCGGUCUGGUGGCGAGUGGCGAACGGGUGAGUAAUGUAUCGGAACGUGCCCAGUCGUGGGGGAUAACGUAGUGAAAAUUACGCUAAUACCGCAUACGAUCUAUGGAUGAAAGCGGGGGAUCGCAAGACCUCGCGCGAUUGGAGCGGCCGAUAUCAGAUUAGGUAGUUGGUGGGGUAAAGGCCCACCAAGCCAAUGAUCUGUAGCUGGUCUGAGAGGACGACCAGCCACACUGGAACUGAGACACGGUCCAGACUCCUACGGGAGGCAGCAGUGGGGAAUUUUGGACAAUGGGCGAAAGCCUGAUCCAGCCAUUCCGCGUGCAGGAUGAAGGCCCUCGGGUUGUAAACUGCUUUUGUACAGAACGAGAAGGUUUCUACUAAUACUAGGAGCUCAUGACGGUACUGUAAGAAUAAGCACCGGCUAACUACGUGCCAGCCGCCGCGGUAA
rnacentral:rRNA from 1 species